rnacentral:rRNA from 1 species
UACGGGGGGGGCAAGCGUUGUUCGGAAUUACUGGGCGUAAAGGGCUCGUAGGCGGCCAACUAAGUCAGACGUGAAGUCCCCAGGCUCAACCUGGGAACUGCGUCUGAUACUGGAUGGCUUGAAUCCGGGAGAGGGAUGCAGAAUUCCAGGUGUAGCGGUGAAAUGCGUAGAUAUCGGGAGGAACACCAGUGGCGAAGGCGAUCUUCUGGACGGAUACUGACGCUGAGGCGCGAAAGCUAGGGGAGCAAACGGG